rnacentral:SRP_RNA from 1 species
GCCAGGUGUGUUGGCACACACCUGUAAUCCCAGCUACUUAGGAGGCUGAGGCAGGAGAAUCACUUGAACCCAGGAGGCGGAGGUUGCAGUGAACCAAGAUCAUACCACUGCACUCCAGCUUGGGUGACAGAGUGAGACUCCGUCUCAA